CGCCCUUCUGGAACAUGUGUUCCUUAACAUUUUAUUUUAAGAUAUUCUUUAAAUUGCGGCCUUAUAGUGCACACUUGAGGUUGACGCUAAGAAUGCACCAAAAUCCUCGUCUUGGGAGCUCUUUGUACCAAAAAUCUCUGCUCAACGAAAAGGCACAAGUGAGGUUGACGCUAAGAACGCACGAAAAUUGUCGUCUCAGG